rnacentral:rRNA from 1 species
CCUAGAGGGGGACAACAGUUGGAAACGACUGCUAAUACCGCAUACGAUCUGACCUCGGCAUCGAGGAUAGAUGAAAGGUGGCCUCUAUUUAUAAGCUAUCACUGAAGGAGGGGAUUGCGUCUGAUUAGCUAGUUGGAGGGGUAACGGCCCACCAAGGCGAUGAUCAGUAGCCGGUCUGAGAGGAUGAACGGCCACAUUGGGACUGAGACACGGCCCAG